rnacentral:rRNA from 1 species
GAUGAACGCUGGCGGCGUGCCUAAUACAUGCAAGUCGAGCGAACGGACGAGAAGCUUGCUUCUCUGAUGUUAGCGGCGGACGGGUGAGUAACACGUGGAUAACCUACCUAUAAGACUGGGAUAACUUCGGGAAACCGGAGCUAAUACCGGAUAAUAUUUUGAACCGCAUGGUUCAAAAGUGAAAGACGGUCUUGCUGUCACUUAUAGAUGGAUCCGCGCUGCAUUAGCUAGUUGGUAAGGUAACGGCUUACCAAGGCAACGAUGCAUAGCCGACCUGAGAGCAUGAUCGGCCACACUGGACCAGAGCCACGGUCCAGAUCCCUCCGGGAGGCAGCAGUAGAGCUCCUUCCUCAAUGGGCGAAAGCCUGACGGCGCAACGUCGCGUGACUGAUGAAGGUCUUCGGAGCGUAAAACUCUGUUAUUAGGGAAGUACACUUCUGUACGUAACUGUGCACAUCUUGCCGGUACCUAAUCAGAAAGCCACGGCUAACUACAUG